AGCGAAACGCUCAAAAUUUACGAACGGACAAUCUGACAACACUAUGGAUUUACGAACGCUCAGAGUGCACUCUGCCACUACAGAUUGAAUUCACGAACACACCCAAAAUCGUAAAAUGUCUAGCUAGUCAUUUGCUAUGCUAACAAGCUAGCAAGAGGUUGAAUAGCAACAGCAUCAACUUCCGGUAGACAGGCGAAGCACUAGUACGCUCAACUGAAACGAUACUGUUCGUUUACAGUAUAUAGUAUGUAGUAUACAGUAUGUUCGUAUGGGUAUUUGAACACAGCUGAGGUGAUGUAUGUGGGUAUUUUUCACAUUUUAUUUUUGCUUAAAAACUUUAACAUACCAAAAAAGUGCCGGAAAAAUCUUGACUAACCUUUAACCUGACACUAAAAGGUCUAUAGACUUUCUUGGCCUAGUCCUAAUCUGAAAAGUAUUUUUAGCACCUAGCUCACUAUUGCUAAAUUACCUGCCUUGAUUCUAAAUGUAUGUUUGUAUUGUAUAUUUCUUUGCCUAAGUAGAGCUUUAAGAUAACUCUGUAAUGUUAUUAUUUAAGUCACAAACUGUACUCGGUUUCAAUUCAACCUAUAACCUGAGUACCUGCAUACUGUUUCACUGUUUUAUUAUAGUAUGUGAACAAUAUUUCUAAAGCUAAUAUGGAUGUUUGUGUAUUUUAGAAUACAACUUAGACUGGUGAAUCCAGAAUGAAUGCUACAUUCACUAAUGUUGAUAGAAAAAUAGUGAAAAUAGCUAAUUCUGGAUUCACCAUGCUAACUACAACUAGGGCUACAAGUCAAAACAUUAUCAGUAGUUAAACCCAAUGGUGAACUAAAUCACAUGAGAUGAACUGGGCAGUUGGGUCUGUAAAUGUCACUGUUGUGUGGUAGACGGUGGCUAGCACCCACCUUCGCGCUAACAUGAGAUUUUGAGCACAGAAGCACUAGACUCACACACAUUGAACCUGCUCUGUGAAGAAAUUGACAGCACAGAGAUGCAAUGGUGAUAUAAAUGAUAAUGGUUCACACAGCAACACAAAGGAUUUAAGCACAGUGCAUAGCUUGACGAUUUGGAUGCAGAUGUCUUUAACUAAUAGAUAUGACCAGAUGUCGGUGUCCUACUCUUCUGCUCUGCAUUUGGCAAUGCUUCUGAGUCUCCACUCAGGUAAUUUGAAAUGCUUUGAACAAAUCUCUUCAUACAUGAACUGUGGACACUUAAGGUACAGUUUUGUUCUAAGGGGGAAGGGGUGGGGGGUGGAGUAUCAUAGGUCAAAUUAUAAUUUAUGAUUGCAUAAGACAGAAUCAGUGCCUUUACAACUGAAAUAUGAAAAUUACGGAACUGAAAUGAAAAGUGAUUGCUGAGAGACUUGCUGUUUGGUAAAUAUAGUAGACAGACCCUACAUUUAUUGACUUAAUACAUUUGUCCCAGCCAGUAUGGAGCUGGGAAGUGAAGUGGCUUAAAAUAGUUUUACAAUUGUCAUGAGGUGUAUCACCAGCUGAACCAGUUCAUCACCUGUUUUCUCAGACUGAUCAACAUUGGUCUCUUUUUCUACAGGUUUACAGAACCUAACUACACUGUCAAAUCCAACAGCAGUCAUUGUACACAAAGGAAAUUCAGUGAAGAUCCACUGUACCCACAAUUUACCCAAUGACAUUGAAAUAUUUACAGUAACUAUAAAAGGAACAGAGGUGCUGUGCUUUUCUCAGUUUAACAGACGAGUGGCUGAUGUGGAAGAAUUGUAAAGAAAACGUACAAAUUAUUUGGAAUAAUGAGACUGAAGAGAUGUCCUUUUUAAAAACUUGGAUGCAUUUGCUGUUUGUUUUGGUUGCAUUUCACAUUAUGCUGCGCUAUCCAAUAUGAAUGGUAAAUAAUGUAUGGUGUUAUUUUGGAGCUUUUGUAAAUAAGAAUACAUUUCUAAACACUUCUACAUUAAUGUGAAUACUACCAUGAUUAUGGUUAGUCCUGAAUAAUGAUGAGUGACAAAGUUCACCACAAAUAUCAAGUGCUAUAAUUUCUAAACAGUUCACCCAAUAUGGAUGAAGAUACCCUCAAAUUGAAGCUGACUGUCUGCACUUUGUAUCAUUGCAAAUCUUGUUUGCCGGCGUGUAGCCUUAUAGAAUUGUCUUGUUACUGGUUUUGCUGUUUUAUUAAACAUUGCACCUGCUUCCCGA